GAGAGCUUCAGACCUGACAAAUACUGUCUUUUCAAAUGGUCUCUACAGCUAGAAGGAGCUUAUAGCAUGAACACUCAACCUGGCUUUGUUUUGAGUCCUGAAGUCCACAACGUCGACUUCUCCAGAUUCUACAGAUACAGUAUACCAGUCAGCACUGGUGUGUUGUCUGUAGUGUUUCUGUAGUGCCAUGCCACCUGCAUCAGUCACUGAAAGGACUGCUGGGCAGUUUCCCACACAGUUUGUGGGGAAUUCUGAUGGCCUGGUACCUCAGCACAUGAAACACAUGCCAUCCACUGAGAGUCCACCAACUGUCAACUGUAAGACAGCUGCUUCUCAGGCUUGCUGGGAAAUAAAUGUGGUCUUGGUACUAAUGGUUCUUGCUGGGUUUCUUAUUUUGGCUCUGUUUUACUGCGUCUUUCACCUGUGGCACAAACUGCAUCUGGUUCAGGCUGGAAAUUCUUUAGAGUAUUUUGGCUUCUACCACAUGGCUAACUACAGCCUGAAACAAAUAUAUGAACCUCCAGGUUUAGCUUCAGUGGACACUGAUAGAACCCCUGAGGAAGUGCCUUCUUGUUCACCACCUCCAACUGUUGUUCCAAAUCAUCCACUCAUCCCUUCACUCCUUCAUUCACCACCUCCACUUUUAUCUCAAUCACCCUCUGCUGUGCCACUGCCGCACCCCUUCAUCUACACUACCCCACCCAGCCCUCAGUCUGAUGCAGAGGUAUAUUCCCGUAUAGGCAAUCUGCAGCCCUCCAGGCUCUCGAGCGUGAGUCAGACACAGGUGGUUCUUUUUGAACACUCGUCCCUCUGACCCUUGAGAGAAGAACUUUGUCCUCUGCCUCUUCCAUCAGAGAAUUUGCUAAGAGACUGCCUUUCACAGUCUAGUGAUUCAUGUCAUGUUUGUUUCUUUUUUGUAUGUUUCUUUUUGGGAAGCUUGCAUCAUCAGAACUGGACUACAUCUCAUCCAUCUUCGCAUGGACAUAAUAUUCUGUUGAGGCUGUUUGGUCAAUUCAUAGUAUAACCAUUUCACACUAAAAUGAUUUGCUGCUUUAUAUUUGCACUAAAGCCAUGCGUAUUGUAAUUGACAGGGGAAGCUUAUAGCUUACACUUUAGCACAAAUUAUAUGCAUUAAUAUCAUCCUAUACUCAGCUUAAAUAUUGUUUAGACAUAAUUUGUACAUUAAAAUAUAUUAAUACAGACAGUAUGUAAGGAAUAUGAGGUGUAAAAAUAUGUUUAAGGAAAGUAUAGUAUGAUAUGGACCAAUUGCAAAGUUUAAUUAUUGCCCUUUAACAGGACUUCACAGAGUGUUUUAUUCAUCCUAUACCACAGCAAUUUGCCAACAAUUUUAUUUGUCUAUUUAUUAACUUUAUGUGGUUCAAAACAAAGCGACAAUUCUGUACUGACAUUUCUCACUUGCCACAAUAUUUACUUACAAUUACAAAAGGCAACCAACACUGGAAACUCCUUCCAUAAAUGUUACAAAUUUCCUCUUACAAAAAUGUUGGUUAUGUACAGCAUACAAUCCCUUAUGCAUGAACUUUUACUAUAGAAACAUGUACAUUUUAUGGUGCAUUAGUUAAUAAGUGCAUUAAUAUAAACCUAUAUUAAUAGAUCAGCACUAAGGUCAGAACUGCUUUCUUCCUAUGGGGAAAUUGUGCAUGUUAUUGUAACUACUGCUACAUUAUUCUUUAAAAAUAUUUAGUAUAUUUCAGAUUUUAGUCAGAAAUGUUCUGUACAUAAUGCUCUUUGCUCUGUCUCUAUUAGUUGUUCAUCUAAGAUAAAACUAGUGGCAAAAUUCUUUUGACCUCAUUAUUCCUGACUGUGUUUUUGAUCUACAGUAGCAUGUGCCUCUUAUUUCCUUUGUAACGCUGGCUUUCCUUCAUAGGGUGGGAUUUCCUGGAGAGCUUUUCCACUGCAUACUUUUUCACUUCCUCUGUUCUGGCUAUAAGGAGAAGAAUAGCAACAAUUCCAGACCUACAUUUUAUUUUAUGCCACACUUUCUAAAUGAGUCUUUUGAGUUUUGUCCAUGUUUGCAGUUAAUAGUUGUCAAAAUGACAUAUAGGUAUAGCAUAACUAAAAAUAAAACAAACCAAGCUUAGAAACUUAAAACCAAUUGCCACAUCCAACAGCAAUUUGCAAGUGAUUUCUUAUUUAUUGAAAAUGACCUGAAUGAACUUUUAAUCAGUUUAAAGUUAUAUUUUAUUCUGUAGAACAUCACUAAAACCAAUACCUAGUUGUUAAAGACUUGCUUCUAUUUGCUAUUGGAAUGGUGAGUAAAGGCAGUAGUCCCAGAAAAACAUUAAUUAUGUUAAAAACAGCAGAAGGAAUAAUUUCAAGGUUCAACAUUAUCAAUAAUUUAACAUUAUGAAUAAUGCAACAGAGCUUUAAUAGCCCACACUGGGACUUUUUUUUAAAUGAUAAUGUUCUGUUGUUUGCAAUAACAUGCCAAGUGCAAAAGUUUACAUCCAUGAUAAAAAAAAAAAAAAAAAGUUAAUUCUGUCUACAAAAAAUUAGGUUUUAAGCAGUUACAACAUGUUGGACAUGUUAUAAACUCUCACUGUAUGAAUCUUUUAAAUGGUAUUAAAUAUUGUAUUUGAGUUAUA